UACGUAGGGUGCAGGCGUUAAUCGGAAUUACUGGGCGUAAAGCGUGCGCAGGCGGUUUGCUAAGACAGGUGUGAAAUCCCCGGGCUCAACCCGGGAACUGCGUCCGAUACUGGCAGGCUUGAAUUCGGGAGAGGGAUGUGGAAUUCCAGGUGUAGCGGUGAAAUGCGUAGAUAUCUGGAGGAACACCGGUGGCGAAGGCGGCAUCCUGGACCGAGAUUGACGCUGAUGCGCGAAAGCCAGGGG
rnacentral:rRNA from 1 species